GACGAACGCUGGCGGCGUGCUUAACACAUGCAAGUCGAACGGAAAGGCCCUGCUUUUGUGGGGUGCUCGAGUGGCGAACGGGUGAGUAACACGUGAGUAACCUGCCCUUGACUUUGGGAUAACUUCAGGAAACUGGGGCUAAUACCGGAUAGGAGCUCCUGCUGCAUGGUGGGGGUUGGAAAGUUUCGGCGGUUGGGGAUGGACUCGCGGCUUAUCAGCUUGUUGGUGGGGUAGUGGCUUACCAAGGCUUUGACGGGUAGCCGGCCUGAGAGGGUGACCGGCCACAUUGGGACUGAGAUACGGCCCAGACUCCUACGGGAGGCAGCAGUGGGGAAUAUUGCACAAUGGGCGGAAGCCUGAUGCAGCAACGCCGCGUGCGGGAUGACGGCCUUCGGGUUGUAAACCGCUUUCGCCUGUGACGAAGCGUGAGUGACGGUAAUGGGUAAAGAAGCACCGGCUAACUACGUGCCAGCAGCCGCGGUGAUACGUAGGGUGCGAGCGCUGUCCGGAUUUAUUGGGCGUAAAGGGCUCGUAGGUGGUUGAUCGCGUCGGAAGUGUAAUCUUGGGGCUUAACCCUGAGCGUGCUUUCGAUACGGGUUGACUUGAGGAAGGUAGGGGAGAAUGGAAUUCCUGGUGGAGCGGUGGAAUGCGCAGAUAUCAGGAGGAACACCAGUGGCGAAGGCGGUUCUCUGGGCCUUUCCUGACGCUGAGGAGCGAAAAGCGUGGGGAGCGAACAGGCUUAGAUACCCUGGUAGUCCACGCUGUAAACGGUGGGUACUAGGUGUGGGGUCCAUUCCACGGGUUCCGCGCCGUAGCUAACGCUUUAAGUACCCCGCCUGGGGAGUACGGCCGCAAGGCUAAAACUCAAAGGAAUUGACGGGGCCCCGCACAAGCGGCGGAGCAUGCGGAUUAAUUCGAUGCAACGCGUAGAACCUUACCUGGGUUUGACAUGGAUCGGGAGUGCUCAGAGAUGGGUGUGCCUCUUUUGGGGUCGGUUCACAGGUGGUGCAUGGCUGUCGUCAGCUCGUGUCGUGAGAUGUUGGGUUAAGUCCCGCAACGAGCGCAACCCUUGUUCACUGUUGCCAGCACGUUAUGGUGGGGACUCAGUGGAGACCGCCGGGGUCAACUCGGAGGAAGGUGGGGAUGACGUCAAGUCAUCAUGCCCCUUAUGUCCAGGGCUUCACGCAUGCUACAAUGGCUGGUACAGAGAGUGGCGAGCCUGUGAGGGUGAGCGAAUCUCGGAAAGCCGGUCUCAGUUCGGAUUGGGGUCUGCAACUCGACCUCAUGAAGUCGGAGUCGCUAGUAAUCGCAGAUCAGCAACGCUGCGGUGAAUACGUUCCCGGG
rnacentral:rRNA from 1 species